CAAUUUGAAACACGUUAACUAAAACCCUAAAACAUAACAGAGCUAACUCCUCCUCCUCCUCCUCCUCCUCCUCCUCCUCCUCCUCCUCCUCCAUUGAAUCGCAGGUGAGCCACCGUAGUACAGUACAGUACAGUACAAUACAGGCAAUAAUAAUAAUGGGUAUAAUCAGGAGUUGUUUCUCUUUUAUAGCUGGAACUGUCACCGGAAUUUACGUCGCUCAGAAUUAUAAAGUACCUAACGUCGCCAAGGUCGCUGACACUUUCUUGUUCAUGGCCAAAGUCACCGAGGAAACAUAUCGCAAACCCAAGAACAACAACAACAAGGAUGAUGAUGAAUGAAUCAAUUAUUAGUUCCAGGUUAGCAACAAGUAGACUUAAUCAUUUGCAUAUACGGGAUCCAUGCUGCUACCAUUGUGAAGAUGUAAUUGAAACUGCACUUCACACUUUGAGGGACGACUGUCCGUUAGCAGUAAGUAUUUGGUUCAAUGUGGUGAAUAUUCAACAUAGAGACAUUUUCUUUAACACUAGUUUGCAGCAAUGGUUGUAUGUUAAUUUGAAUAUGAAUUUGGGAAGAGAUGGUUUCAUACAGUGGACUGAACUUUGGGCUAUAGGUUGUCAUUAUUUAUGGUUUUGGCGUAAAACAUUGAUGCAUCAUGGCAGUAGCGUAUUGCCGUUUCGUCCUUGGGAGGAGGUGCAACGUAGAUACUAUCUAUUUGUAUGCUCAUGUUUUAAGUAUUGACAUUGUUGUAUAUAAAGUGGCAGGCCCCUAGUGUAGGUUGGAUUCGUCUCAACACUGAUGGAGCGGCAAAGGUUGGGGCAAUUGCAGGGUGUGGUGGUGUUUUGAGAGGUAACAAUGUUGAGUGGAUUUUUGGUUUCUCAAAGAAUAUAGGCAUUUGCAGUGCUUAUGUAGCAGAGUUAUGGGGAGUGUUGGGGAGUGUUAGAAUGUUUGAAGCUUGCUAGGCUAAGGGGGGUUACAAAAAUAGAGAUGCAUGUUGACUCACAUGUGGUGGUUAAAACACUUCAAUCUAGAAGUGUUGGGUCUCCGGAUGCGAGGAUCUUAGUGCAAAGUAUUAUGAAGAUGCUUGCUUUGAAUUGGGAAGUUGUGAUUGAACAUACCAUCGCAAAGCUAAUACUUGGCCGAUGCGUUAGCAAAUUUGGCUUGUGACGAUGGUAGUGAUAUGAUAGUGUAUGACUAUUGUCCUCCUCAAGAUAGUUCUAGUUUUCAUGCUGAUUUUAUAGGAGUUUCAACUCCUCAGGUGUAAUUUCUUUCUUCUCUGGGCUUAGGCCCUCUUAUAUUCCAAAAAAAAAAAAACAGGAGGAUGGUUCAAAUUUGAAAUUCGGUUUGAUCUCGCUCGAUCCAAUGGUUAGGAUGUGCUGGCCUGCAUCAAAAUUUUAACAACAGUUAACCCGAUUUCUCAUUGUUUGAAUCUCUUUAACUCAAUGGAGAACAGCAAUGGAAUCCAUGGUGUAAAAGUAGAAGUAUAUGAUUGCAUGUCCAAUAGAAGAGGCAAAAUGCUCAAAAGAGAAAUUAAAGCUUGUGAUUAUACAUACAUACUUCCUAACGCAAACCACAAAACCAAUAUCAUCUCCCUCCUGUAGUGAUAGGUCCCACGCAUGUUGAUUCCACCAACACAAACACCCACAUUCUUCUGUUUGCUAUUGCCACCACGCAUGUUGAUUAUGCAGUGCAUUGUACACUAUACAGUAGUAGUACUACUACUACUAUUACUACUGUCGUAAUGUAAUCCCCCGCGCAACAGCGACAUUCCAUCUUUUAUUAUUCCUUUGUUUGUUACGACAGCUACCUAAUAUUGUCUAUGUCUAUGUGUGUAUUCUUCCUUUUUGUGUGAGUGGGAUGGUAAAGUAACAAAGAGACCUAUCUAUGACAUGCAUAUUAUUCA